AUUGUGUUUGCACGAGGAGCAGCUGUAGCUGUGUUUAUCCUUUUGAAGUCAGAGGAGAUGACGUAUGUUGUUCUUACUGAGCAGAAAUGAUUACAUUUUAUUUCCAUCUAUUCAAACCCUGUGGAAAGGAUUAUAUUGGAGUUGCCUGAUGGAAUGUUGGAUGUUGACAAGGGUGAUUUUCUUGGAGCUGCAAUCCGUGAGGUGUGCUUUUCCCUGUGUAUUCUCAUCUAGGUGCGACUCUCUCUC